UUGCUCCCGGACGUUAGCGGCGGACGGGUGAGUAACACGUGGGCAACCUGCCCCUUAGACUGGGAUAACUCCGGGAAACCGGAGCUAAUACCGGAUAAUCCCUUUCUCCACCUGGAGAGAGGGUGAAAGAUGGCUUCGGCUAUCACUAGGGGAUGGGCCCGCGGCGCAUUAGCUAGUUGGUAAGGUAACGGCUUACCAAGGCAACGAUGCGUAGCCGACCUGAGAGGGUGAUCGGCCACACUGGGACUGAGACACGGCCCAGACUCCUACGGGAGGCAGCAGUAGGGAAUCUUCCGCAAUGGACGAAAGUCUGACGGAGCAACGCCGCGUGAGUGAGGAAGGCCUUCGGGUCGUAAAGCUCUGUUGUGAGGGAAGAAGCGGUACCGUUCGAAUAGGGCGGUACCUUGACGGUACCUCACCAGAAAGCCACGGCUAACUACGUGCCAGCAGCCGCGGUAAUACGUAGGUGGCAAGCGUUGUCCGGAAUUAUUGGGCGUAAAGCGCGCGCAGGCGGCUUCUUAAGUCUGAUGUGAAAUCUCGGGGCUCAACCCCGAGCGGCCAUUGGAAACUGGGGAGCUUGAGUGCAGAAGAGGAGAGUGGAAUUCCACGUGUAGCGGUGAAAUGCGUAGAGAUGUGGAGGAACACCAGUGGCGAAGGCGACUCUCUGGUCUGUAACUGACGCUGAGGCGCGAAA
rnacentral:rRNA from 2 species